GGCUGUGGCUAUACAGCAGUCUUUACAGGACCAAGUGGCACCUGUGCAACAGAAACCAAUAAUUGUUAUAGAGGAUGAGGUUGGAGCAGCUGCAGGUGUGAUAAAG